AGAGUUUGAUCCUGGCUCAGGACGAACGCUGGCGGCGUGCUUAACACAUGCAAGUCGAACGGAGCACCCUUGAUUGAGGUUUCGGCCAAAUGAUAGGAAUGCUUAGUGGCGGACUGGUGAGUAACGCGUGAGGAACCUGCCUUUCAGAGGGGGACAACAGUUGGAAACGACUGCUAAUACCGCAUGACGCAUUUUGAUCGCAUGGUCGAAAUGCCAAAGAUUUAUCGCUGAAAGAUGGCCUCGCGUCUGAUUAGCUAGUUGGUGAGGUAACGGCCCACCAAGGCGACGAUCAGUAGCCGGACUGAGAGGUUGAACGGCCACAUUGGGACUGAGAUACGGCCCAGACUCCUACGGGAGGCAGCAGUGGGGAAUAUUGGGCAAUGGGCGCAAGCCUGACCCAGCAACGCCGCGUGAAGGAAGAAGGCUUUCGGGUUGUAAACUUCUUUUAAGAGGGAAGAGCAGAAGACGGUACCUCUAGAAUAAGCCACGGCUAACUACGUGCCAGCAGCCGCGGUAAUACGUAGGUGGCAAGCGUUGUCCGGAUUUACUGGGUGUAAAGGGCGUGCAGCCGGGUCUGCAAGUCAGAUGUGAAAUCCAUGGGCUCAACCCAUGAACUGCAUUUGAAACUGUAGAUCUUGAGUGUCGGAGGGGCAAUCGGAAUUCCUAGUGUAGCGGUGAAAUGCGUAGAUAUUAGGAGGAACACCAGUGGCGAAGGCGGAUUGCUGGACGAUAACUGACGGUGAGGCGCGAAAGUGUGGGGAGCAAACAGGAUUAGAUACCCUGGUAGUCCACACUGUAAACGAUGAAUACUAGGUGUGCGGGGACUGACCCCCUGCGUGCCGCAGUAAACACAAUAAGUAUUCCACCUGGGGAGUACGAUCGCAAGGUUGAAACUCAAAGGAAUUGACGGGGGCCCGCACAAGCGGUGGAUUAUGUGGUUUAAUUCGAAGCAACGCGAAGAACCUUACCAGGGUUUGACAUCCUGCUAACGAAGUAGAGAUACAUUAGGUGCCCUUCGGGGAAAGCAGAGACAGGUGGUGCAUGGUUGUCGUCAGCUCGUGUCGUGAGAUGUUGGGUUAAGUCCCGCAACGAGCGCAACCC
rnacentral:rRNA from 1 species